rnacentral:rRNA from 1 species
UUUCGCAAUGCCCGAAAGGGUGACGAAGCGACGCCCCGUGAGUGAGGAAGGCCUUCGGGUUGUAAAGCUCUGUCAGGAGUUAAGAAAUAUAAGUGUGCUAAUACCACAUUUAUUUGACAAAAGCUACAAAGGAAGCCACGGCUAACUCUGUGCCAGCAGCCGCGGUAAUACAGAGGUGGCAAGCGUUGUUCGGAAUUAUUGGGCGUAAAGAGCACGUAGGUGGGUUUGUAAGUCAGAUGUGAAAGCCUUCUGUUCAACGGAAGAAUUGCAUCUGAAACUGCGAGUCUUGAGUGUAGGAGGGGAGAAUGGAACUUCUGGUGGAGCGGUGAAAUGCGUAGAUAUCAGAAGGAACGCCGGCGGCGAAAGCGAUUCUCUGGCCUAUUACUGACACUCAGUGUGCGAAAGCUAGGGGAGCAAACGGGAUUAGAUACCCCGGUAGUCCUAGCUGUAAACGAUGGGCACUAAGUAGAGGGGUUUUA